UAGCAUAAUCACUUGCUUCUUAAUUGGUAGCUGGAAUGAACGGUUGAGCUGAUUUAGUAGGUGUGUACAUUUAAAUAGAAAGUUAAAGUCAAGGUAAGAAUUCUUUGAUGGCUUAGGGGACGAUAAGACCCUAUAAGCUUAAUAAAUUUAUUAUUGAUUUAGUUUUUCAAGUUGGUUUAUUUCACUGGGGCGGUGCUGGUAUUUAAACUAUCAGUUAGUUUAGGAUCCUUAAAAUAAAGAUGGUACGUAAAAGUUACUUUAGGGAUAACAGUGCAAUAUUUUUGGAGAGAUCUUAUCGAUAGAUAUGUUUGCAACCUCGAUGUUGAAUUAAAAUUUCUACGUGAAGCAGAAGGUAUAGUAGAGGGUUUGUUCAACCUUUAAAUUUUUACAUGAUCUGAGUUCAACCGGAG
rnacentral:rRNA from 1 species